GACGAACGCUGGCGGCGUGCCUAACACAUGCAAGUCGAACGGGGUAAUACCUUCGGGGAUUACUUAGUGGCGAACGGGUGAGUAACGCGUGAGAAACCUGCCUUUCAGUGGGGGACAACAGUUGGAAACGACUGCUAAUACCGCAUAAUGUUAUUUGGGGGCAUCCCUGAAUAACCAAAGAUUUAUUGCUGAAAGAUGAUCUCGCGUCUGAUUAGCUAGUUGGUGAGGUAACGGCUCACCAAGGCGACGACCAGUAGCCGGUCUGAGAGGAUGAACGGCCACAUUGGGACUGAGAUACGGCCCAGACUCCUACGGGAGGCAGCAGCGGGGAAUAUUGGGCAAUGGGCGAAAGCCUGACCCAGCAACGUCGCGUGAAGGAAGAAGGCCUUCGGGUUGUAAACUUCUUUUAGCAGGGACGAAUUUUGACGGUACCUGCAGAAAAAGCAACGGCUAACUACGUGCCAGCCGCCGCCGUAAGAC
rnacentral:rRNA from 1 species